GGAAUAUUGGGCAAUGGGCGCAAGCCUGACCCAGCCAUGCCGCGUGAGUGACGAAGGCCUUAGGGUUGUAAAGCUCUUUUGGCGGGGACGAUGAUGACGGUACCCGCAGAAUAAGCCCCGGCUAACUUCGUGCCAGCAGCCGCGGUAAUACGAAGGGGGCAAGCGUUGUUCGGAAUUACUGGGCGUAAAGGGCGCGUAGGCGGCUUACCAAGUCAGGCGUGAAAUUCCCGGGCUCAACCUGGGGGCUGCGCUUGAUACUGGUAGGCUUGAAUACGGGAGAGGAUAGUGGAAUUCCCAGUGUAGAGGUGAAAUUCGUAGAUAUUGGGAAGAACACCGGUGGCGAAGGCGGCUAUCUGGCCCGUUAUUGACGCUGAGGCGCGAAAGCGUGGGGAGCAA
rnacentral:rRNA from 1 species